rnacentral:rRNA from 1 species
AUGAUUGUGACAAAUUACGUAGAUGAGCGUUGCAUCGGUUACGCUGAUGAGUUUAGCCCCUACUAUGUGUAUGGAAAUGAAGUGACGUUGUACAACAACAAUCUUAAGAAGCUGCGCAAGCUAAUUAGAAACAGGACAAUACCUAACAGCUACUAUGUCUGCCACAUGACAAAGACCUUUGCAACCCCUAGAAAAACAAUGUAUUUCCUGGUGCCCUUCUCUAAAGGCAGUAUCUUCCCACAUAUGGAUGCCAACAAUGAGCUGCCAGUAAGCAAUGGAGAUGGUACUGUCAAUGCCAAAGUUCGCUUUAUCAAAGGCGUCGACAACAGAGCUACCAUCACAAAGAACUGGAGCGCUUUCUUUCGACAGGAAGAAAUGGUAAAGGGCCGGGUCUAUGCCUUCGCGUUCAAGUGCUCAGCAAAGGGGCUGCGCAUGAUCGUCUAUCCCCUAUAA